ensembl:lncRNA
UGUCGGUCAUAGGGAAUAAAUCAGCCUUCUGGUUGUUGUAGCUAUUUGCAGUGUAUGGGCGCAUUUCUGCCGGUACAGUGUGUCCUGUAGGAGACAAGGCUGACAGCCUUUUAUUAUCGCCCUGCCUCAGACUGGAACAGCGGACCCCAAUUUUCUCCUUCUUUCACCCUCUCCUUUUGUCAAUCCUCUCAAUAAGCGCGCCGGAGAAACAGGGUUCACGGGAUCUCUCCCAGACCGACUGGGGAACAAAGUGGUUGGGGCCAGGCAAGGAUGAAGGCGGCAUCGAUCUGGUGCAGUGGCAGAUCACUGCAGUACAGCAGCCAACGAUGUCAACCAUCUCGGGAGUGAAGUGGCGACUCAAACGGAACCGGCACAGAUCCUGCCAUUACACCCGUUAUAUUCUCCUUUCAUCUUUCCAGUGUGGCCUCUCACCCUCAUAACUUACCACACAGCUUAAUCAAAGAAACACACACCCAUUGACACAAUGGCAAAAAUGCACACACGCAGUCACAAGUACACACACAUUUCAAGAAUUGUGUCGUGUAGUUUGUCUUGUGCAUCCUAUAAAUAUUUUUUUCCAAUUCCAAUAUGUAACGCCACACUACUAAGUCAUACCUCUCACCACACUACUAAGUCAUAUCUCUCACCACACUACUAAGUCAUAUCUCUCACCACACUACUAAGUCAUAUCUCUCACCACAUUACUAAGUCAUACCUCUCACCACAUUACUAAGUCAUAUCUCUCACCACACUACUAAGUCAUACCUCUCACCACACUACUAAGUCAUAUCUCUCACCACACUACUAAGUCAUAUCUCUCACCACACUACUAAGUCAUAUCUCUCACCACAUUACUAAGUCAUAUCUCUCACCACAUUACUAAGUCAUACCUCUCACCACACUACUAAGUCAUACCUCUCACCACACUACUAAGUCAUACCUCUCACCACACUACUAAGUCAUACCUCUCACCACACUACUAAGUCAUACCUCUCACCACACUACUAAGUCAUACCUCUCACCACACUACUAAGUCAUAUCUCUCACCACACUACUAAGUCAUAUCUCUCCCAGUUCCAUCCAUUUACUACAAAUCAUACAUGGUUGGCUCCCUCAUCCCUUGAACCUUAAAUUCCCAGAGUGCAAAAGCAUAGUGAGUGUAAAUGCCAUUUUAGCAUUAGGGCUAUGCUUAUAAUAAGCCCAAAGCAUACAUUUACUCAAAUCAUUGCUAGGGUUUUUACCGCAAACAAAUAUUGUCUUGGUUCCAUGGCAUUUAAAAAAUAUCUAAAAUGAAUGACAGAAAUCUGGAAUUAUUUUCUUUUUCAAACUGAAAAUCCAAGGCUAGAUAAUAAUGACAUACUGGAGGUCAAAGGCACAUUUGUUUUAUUUCAUUUUGUUUUGAAUCAAUUAUUGUGUCUUAGUGUUUUGCAGAUUGCUCAAUCCCACUAGUGGCUUGUAGAUAUGGUUGUCCUUGUACAACAAAGCCAUUAGACUUGGUCUCAACAAUGUUCCAAUCUGCCACAAAAUUGGCAGAUAGCAGGAAGACCCAUUUUAUCUGGCUUUGCAAAGACUACAGAUGUAAAGACUAAUUCUUUGUAAAAUUGUGUUCACACACUCGAAAGUGGGUUUUUCAAACCACAGGCAAUGGUAGUUUUUACAGAUUCUCUAGAGAUUGAGAAAUAAUGACUGCUUUUCAUCACUUCAAAUCGCUAUGAAAUAGUAAGAGAAUCUUUAAAUAGGAACUGUGAAUAUUGUGGUAAACUUACAGUAACUCACGAAAGUGAGUACACCCCUCACAUUUUUGUAAAUAUUUGAUUAUAUCCGUUC